GACGAACGCUGGCGGCGUGCUUAACACAUGCAAGUCGAACGAAGUGGCGAACGGGUGAGUAACGCGUAAUCAACCUGCCCUUCAGAGGGGGACAACAGUUGUAAACGACUGCUAAUCCUCCAUACUGAUGGUGUGGUUUGGGAGUGAUUAGCUCGUGGGAGGGGUAACGGCCCACCAAGGCGAUGAUCAGUAGGCGGUCUGGGAGGGUGAACGGGCACAUUGGGACUGAGACACGGCCCAGACUCCUACGGGAGGCAGAAGGGGGGAAUCUUCCGAAAUGGACGGAAGUCUGACGGAGCAACGCCGCGGGAGUGAUGACGGCCUUCGGGUUGAAAAGCUCUGUUAAUCGGGACGCGGGACCGGAAUAGAAAGCCACGGCUAACUACGUGCCAGCCGCCGCGGUAAUAC
rnacentral:rRNA from 1 species